GUCUCUCUUGAGUGGAUCCUGAGUACGACGGAGCACGUGAAAUUCCGUCGGAAUCUGGGAGGACCAUCUCCUAAGGCUAAAUACUCUCUAGUGACCGAUAGUGAACCAGUACCGUGAGGGAAAGGUGAAAAGCACCCCGGAAGGGGAGUGAAAUAGAACCUGAAACCGUGUGCUUACAAGUAGUCAGAGCCCGUUAAUGGGUGAUGGCGUGCCUUUUGUAGAAUGAACCGGCGAGUUACGAUUUGAUGCAAGGUUAAGCAGUAAAUGUGGAGCCGUAGCGAAAGCGAGUCUGAAUAGGGCGUUUAGUAUUUGGUCGUAGACCCGAAACCAGGUGAUCUACCCUUGGUCAGGUUGAAGUUCAGGUAACACUGAAUGGAGGACCGAACCGACUUACGUUGAAAAGUGAGCGGAUGAACUGAGGGUAGCGGAGAAAUUCCAAUCGAACCUGGAGAUAGCUGGUUCUCUCCGAAAUAGCUUUAGGGCUAGCCUCAAGUGAUGAUUAUUGGAGGUAGAGCACUGUUUGGACGAGGGGCCCCUCUCGGGUUACCGAAUUCAGACAAACUCCGAAUGCCAAUUAAUUUAACUUGGGAGUCAGAACAUGGGUGAUAAGGUCCGUGUUCGAAAGGGAAACAGCCCAGACCACCAGCUAAGGUCCCAAAAUAUAUGUUAAGUGGAAAAGGAUGUGGCGUUGCCCAGACAACUAGGAUGUUGGCUUAGAAGCAGCCAUCAUUUAAAGAGUGCGUAAUAGCUCACUAGUCGAGUGACACUGCGCCGAAAAUGUACCGGGGCUAAACAUAUUACCGAAGCUGUGGAUUGUCCUUUGGACAAUGGUAGGAGAGCGUUCUAAGG
rnacentral:rRNA from 1 species